rnacentral:rRNA from 1 species
GUCCACGCUGUAAACGAUGAGCGCUAGGUGUCGCGGGUAUUGACCCCUGCGGUGCCGCAGGGAAACCAUUAAGCGCUCCGCCUGGGGAGUACGGCCGCAAGGCUAAAACUCAAAGGAAUUGACGGGGGCCCGCACAAGCGGUGGAGUAUGUGGUUCAAUUCGACGCAACGCGAAGAACCUUACCUGGGUUGGAAACCCCUCGAACCUGCCGGAAACGGUGGGGUGCCUUUCGGGGAGCGAGGUGUCCAGGUGCUGCAUGGCUGUCGU